rnacentral:tRNA from 1 species
GCCUGGGUGGCUCAGUCAGUUAAGCAUCUGACUUCGGCUCAGGUCAUAAUCUCAUAGUUUGUGAGUUUGAGCCUCACAUCAGGCU